rnacentral:rRNA from 1 species
UACGUAGGGUCCGAGCGUUGUCCGGAAUUAUUGGGCGUAAAGGGCUCGUAGGCGGUUCGUCACGUCGGGAGUGAAAACUCGGAGCUUAACUCCGAGCCUGCUUCCGAUACGGGCAGACUAGAGGUAGGCAGGGGAGAGCGGAACUCCUGGUGUAGCGGUGGAAUGCGCAGAUAUCAGGAAGAACACCGGUGGCGAAGGCGGCUCUCUGGGCAUGAUCUGACGCUGAGGAGCGAAAGUGUGGGGAGCGAACAGG